rnacentral:rRNA from 1 species
GACGAACGCUGGCGGCGUGCUUAACACAUGCAAGUCGAACGGAAAGGCCCUGCUUUUGUGGGGUUCUCGAGUGGCGAACGGGUGAGUAACACGUGAGUAACCUGCCCUUGGCUUUGGGAUAACUUCAACAAACUGGGGCAAAUAACGCAUAGUAGCUCCUCAUGACCGGAGGGGGGUGGAUAGGUUCGGCGGGUGGGGAUGGACGCCCGGCUGAUCAGCUCGAUGGGGGGGGAUAGGGUUACACAGACUUUGACGGCUAUCCGGCCUGUGAGGGGAACCGGCCACCUUAGUACUGCGAGACGGACCAGACUCCUACGGGAGGCAGCAGUGGGGAGUAUUGCACAGUGGGCGGGAGCCUGAUGCGGCGACGCCGCGUUCGUGAAGUCGGCCUUCGGGGUGUAAACCGCUUUCAGCUAUGACGAAGCGUGAGUGACGGUAAUGGGUAAAGAAGCACCGGCUAACUACGUG